GGGGGGCCAUUAUGCAGCACUGCGAUAGGGGAACAUCGAGUGGCAAGCAUAAUGUUUGUCUGUCCUUCCGUCUAAAAAACGGAAGUUAGCAAGGGCCGGGCAAGACCGGUGCCAGCCGCCGCGGUAAUACCGGCGGCUCGAGUGGUGGCCGAUAUUAUUGAGUCUAAAGGGUCCGUAGCCGGCUUUGCAAGUCUUGUGGGAAAUCCAGCGGCUUAACCGUUGGGCGUCCGCGAGAUACUACAUUGCUUGGGACUGGGAGAGGUAAGAGGUACUCAGGGGGUAGGAGUGAAAUCCUGUAAUCC
rnacentral:rRNA from 1 species